rnacentral:tRNA from 1 species
GCCCGGUUAGCUCAGCCGGUAGAGCGUUGGACUUUUAAUCCAACGGACAAGGGUUCAAGUCCCUCAUCGGGCU